rnacentral:rRNA from 1 species
UACGUAGGGUGCGAGCGUUGUCCGGAAUUACUGGGCGUAAAGAGCUCGUAGGUGGUUUGUCGCGUUGUUCGUGAAAACUCACAACUCAAUUGUGGGCGUGCGGGCGAUACGGGCAGACUGGAGUACUGCAGGGGAGACUGGAAUUCCUGGUGUAGCGGUGGAAUGCGCAGAUAUCAGGAGGAACACCGGUGGCGAAGGCGGGGUCUCUGGGCAGUAACUGACGCUGAGGAGCGAAAGCGUGGGGAGCGAACAGG